UACAACUUUCAGCAACGGAUCUCUUGGCUCUCGCAUCGAUGAAGAACGCAGCGAAAUGCGAUAAGUAAUGUGAAUUGCAGAAUUCAGUGAAUCAUCGAAUCUUUGAACGCACCUUGCGCUCCUUGGUAUUCCGAGGAGCAUGCCUGUUUGAGUGUCAUUA
rnacentral:rRNA from 6 species